UACGUAGGGAGCAAGCGUUGUCCGGAUUUACUGGGUGUAAAGGGAGCGUAGACGGCAAGGCAAGCCUGGAGUGAAAGGCGGGGGCCCAACCCCCGGACUGCUCUGGGAACUGUCUGGCUAGAGUGCAGGAGGGGUAAGUGGAAUUCCUAGUGUAGCGGUGAAAUGCGUAGAUAUUAGGAGGAACACCAGUGGCGAAGGCGGCUUACUGGACUGUAACUGACGUUGAGGCUCGAAAGCGUGGGGAGCAAACAGG
rnacentral:rRNA from 1 species